CGAGGAGUAGCGCAGCCUGGUAGCGCACCUGGUUCGGGUCCAGGGGGUCGGAGGUUCGAAUCCUCUCUCCUCGA
rnacentral:tRNA from 1 species